rnacentral:rRNA from 1 species
GACGAACGCUGGCGGCGUGCCUAAUACAUGCAAGUAGGACGCAGUUGCGAACGGGGGAGUAACGCGUAGGUAACUACCUAGCAGAGGGGGAGAAAUAUUGGAAACGAUAGCUAAAACCGAAUACUAGUAGAUGGACCUGCGUGUUAUUAGUUAGUAGGUAGGGUAAAGGCCUACCUAGGGAAAGGUACAUAGCCGACCUGGGACGGUGGUCGGCCAACAGGGGACUGAGAAAAGGGCCAGGACCCUACGGGAGGGAGCAGUAGGGAAUCUUCGGCAAUGGGGGGAAACCUGGCCGAGCAACGCCGCGUGAGUGGAGAAGGUUUUCGGAUCGUAAAGCUCUGUUGUUAAGGAAGCGGUACUUAACCAGAAAGGGACGGCUAACUACGUGCCAGCCGCCGCGGUAAUAC